GUUCUAACAUGUCCAGCACAGCAGCACUCAGUGGGGGUGUGACUUCAUUCAGGUCGCGGUAGUCUACCGUCAGCCUCCAUUCUCCACUGGCUUUACGCACUGGCCAUAUGGGGCUGUUAAAAGGUGAGUGAGUUUUGCUGAUCACUCCCUGAAUCUCUAGUUGACGAAUCAACUUAUGAAUGGGGAGCUAGGAGUCCCUGUUAGUGCGGUACUGCCGUCUCUGCACCGUUUUUGUAGCAAUCAGUAUCUGUUGCUCUUUUACUCGUAGCAGUCCCACAACAGAUGGAUCUUCCAACAGGCCAGGCAACACAGACAACUGUUUAACACCUUCUGUGUCUACAGCAGCUAUUCCAAAGGCCCAUCGAUACCCUUUGGGAUCCUUAAAAUAUCCCCUUCUGAGGUAAUCAAUACCAAGUAUAUAUGGAGCCCCUGGACCAGUCACAAUAGGAUGCUUUUGCCAGUCUUUGCCAGUGAGACUUAUUUCAGCCUCCAACAUAGUCAACUCUUGGGAACCCCCAGUCACCCCAUGAAUAUAAAUUGAUUUUGUCCCUUAGUGACUCGAGGGCAUUAGGGUACACUGCACCAGUGUCCACUAGUUCCUUAUAUUUCUGUGGUUCUGACAUGCCAGGCUAUCUAAUCCGCACAGUCCAAUACACUCUAUUAUCCCUUUCCCCCUCCUGGCUGGGGGCAGGACCCCUCUAUUUGUUACCUCCGUUGUCCUCCUGACUAUUGCCGUGUCCUGCAAUAACUGGAACAACCACCUUUUUGGAGAAGUUCACCUUGGUGGUUGAUCUAUCUUCUAAUUCUUUUACCCAUGCUUGAAGUGCAGAAGUGGGUUUCUUAUGCCAUUUCUUCAUAUCUUCUCCAUGGUCACGUGGGUAAUGCCACAAGGCAAAGCGCGACCUAGUCUUACUGUUGUCACUUGCUUGAACAGGAGGACGUCUCCUGUUGAUAGCCACUCUAAUAGCCGAGACGUUGGAUGAUGCAGGUUGGUGUAGAGGGAUUAAAUGUAACUCGAAGUCUUGGAGUUUAUUAAUAAGUUCAUUUAUAAAAGGUCUUUCUCCCCCUGUCAUACAUUGCUGCAAAUAUACUGGCAUACUACUCUGGUGCAGUCUUUAUGAAUAUACGCCACAUAUGUGGUGUACACCUGACGUUCUCAGGAUCAUGCUCUUCAUCAGGCUCGUCAGGAAUGAAAGUGGGGCUAUGUAACAUUUCCACCACAGCGUGUUCUCUCACAUAACGGAUGCCUUUUUCCAUAUCAGUCCAUUUCCUUUUCUCAGGCAUCAGGUCAUCUUUGAAGGGGUAUCUUUCUUUCACAGCUAACAGCAUCUGCUUCCAGAGGGUGAAGGCCUGGUUCUGGCAUGUGCUAAUACCUCUGUCAAUGGCUGAGUCCUUAGCAAUGCCACCAAGCUGACGAGCCUCUCUACUAUCUAGCAACACACUGUUGGCCCCAUUGUCCCAACAUCGAAGUAACCAGGUGACAAUAGGCUCAUUUGGGUGGCGUGUGAAGUCUUUUCUCAGACCAUGAAUUUCGUUCAUUUUCAAAGACCUAUCAGUAAUGGUAAUGAUGUCUCAUUCACCUCCUGAUCUUUCAGGACUUCUUGUUACUCUCCUGGGCAUUGGUGACCAUGAUCUUAUUGAGAGCCCCUCCCCUGGACUCAGGGGUGGUUCCCCUAGAACUUGGAGCUGCUCCUCUGGACCUCUUUCCUCCUCUUUCUUCUGUUCUGAGUCAAGAUUUGUUUUGUUUUCUCUCCUCUUACAGGGGCAACUGACAUCGAUUUUGGUGCCUCUUGUGGUUGAUCAGGUUGGUCAGUCCCGAUGCUCUUACUCUCCAACUCAGCUCGGAGUCUGUCUUGUUCGACUAUGGGGGUAUUUAGUUCAGAUUGGAGGGUGUCUCUUUAGGACUGGAGGGUGUCUCGCUCAGACUGAAGAUUCUUUCUUUGGAUUUGAAGACUCCAUUUCUCAACUAGGAGACUCUCUUCCUGGACCUGAAGAUUCUCCCUCGCAGCUUGGACUCUCUCCUGGAAACUCUCCUUUUUGGCUUGACAACUCUCUUUCUCAUCUAAUACUGUCUCCUGGAGACUUUCUCUUUCAGCACGGAGAUUCUCCCUCUCAAUUUCAGAAACUCUCUUCCUCUCUGGAAUAGUAUUAAAUAAGGCUCAAUAAGCAUUAGCCAGGCCCCAAAUCAUUUGUGCCUCCUCAGAUCUGCCUAAGCCACAACAUCCCUGUCUCAAAUAUCUGUUUAGGCUCUCAGGAUCUUUUAGGUGUUCAGGAGUAAAGUUCCAUGAUACCGAAGAUGUCCAUCUCUCUAAAGUCUCUCCCAAGCCUCUCCACACACCCUGCCACUCAGUGUCCUCUGGUUCUGGGGAAGGCUUCCUCAAAAUAUGAUAAAUCCAGAUACUGAGUGAAAUAAGUAAAAUAAUGAACAGUAAAUUCAGGGAGAUUAACAACAUGAUCAAAUGAGCAUUCAAAAACUGCAUAAAGGAUUCUAAAGCAGACACUGGGAACCUGCUUAAAAAUUAAAAGUUCUGUAAAAUCAGCAGCUUCCUCUGCAAACAUGUGUAAAAGAGAAAGUGGAAUCAUUUUUUAUUUCUCUUUACAGAAGUCAGAUAGCAGUGCCCAACGUUUUCAAA
ensembl:lncRNA